rnacentral:rRNA from 1 species
UGUCCGGAAUUACUGGGUGUAAAGGGAGCGUAGGCGGGAUCGCAAGUCAGAUGUGAAAACUAUGGGCUUAACCCAUAAACUGCAUUUGAAACUGUGGUUCUUGAGUGAAGUAGAGGUAAGCGGAAUUCCUAGUGUAGCGGUGAAAUGCGUAGAUAUUAGGAGGAACAUCAGUGGCGAAGGCGGCUUACUGGGCUUUAACUGACGCUGAGGCUCGAAAGCGUGGGGAGCAAACAGGAUUAGAUACCCUGGUAGUCCACGCCGUAAACGAUGAUUACUAGGUGUGGGGGGACUGACCCCUUCCGUGCCGCAGCCAACGCAAUCAGUAAUCCACCUGGGGAGUACGACCGCAGGUUGAAACGCAAAGGAA